CUCUCUGCCCUGUUCGCUGGUUGUUGUGCCCGGGCGGAAUAAACAAAGAACGGGGGACUGUUGCUACCGUGGUGAGCUGCCCCAUUGCGCGGGAAUUGCCUGAAGCGGUAUAUGGUCGCCCACCUGUUAAGGAACUCGCCGGAGGUCCUUUAAACUUACGGCAGGGCGGAGAGAGU
rnacentral:other from 1 species